UACAGAGGGUGCAAGCGUUAUUCGGAAUUACUGGGCGUAAAGCGUGCGUAGACGGUUGCGUAAGUCAGAUGUGAAAGCCCCGGGCUCAACCUGGGAAUUGCAUUUGAGACUGCGUAGCUAGGGUGCGGAAGAGGGAAGCGGAAUUUCCGGUGUAGCGGUGAAAUGCGUAGAUAUCGGAAGGAACACCAGUGGCGAAAGCGGCUUCCUGGUCCAGCACUGACGUUCAGGCACGAAAGCGUGGGGAGCAAACAGG
rnacentral:rRNA from 1 species